rnacentral:rRNA from 1 species
UGGGGAAUUUUGCACAAUGGGGGAAACCCUGAUGCAGCGACGCCGCGUGAUUUAGAAGGCCUUCGGGUUGUAAAAAUCUUUUCUAUGGGAAGAAAAUGACAGUACCAUAGGAAUAAGGACUGGCUAAUUACGUGCUAGCAGCCGCGGUAAUACGUAAGGUCCGAGCGUUGUCUGGAAUCAUUGGGCGUAAAGGGUACGUAGGCGGGUAAGCAAGUUAGAAGUGAAAUCGUAUAGCUCAACUAUAGUAAGCUUUUAAAACUGCUCAUCUCGAGGUAUGGAAGGGAAAGUGGAAUUCCGGGUGUGGCGGUGAAAUGCGCAGAUAUUAGGAGGAAUACCGGUGGCGAAGGCGACUUUCUGGCCAUAACCUGACGCUGAGGUACGAAAGCGUGGGUAGCAAACAGG